GAACGGCAGCACAGAGGAGCUUGCUCCUUGUGGUGGCGAGUGGCGGACGGGUGAGGAAUACAUCGGAAUCUACUCUGUCGUGGGGGAUAACGUAGGGAAACUUACGCUAAUACCGCAUACGACCUACGGGUGAAAGCAGGGGAUCUUCGGACCUUGCGCGAUUGAAUGAGCCGAUGUCGGAUUAGCUAGUUGGCGGGGUAAAGGCCCACCAAGGCGACGAUCCGUAGCUGGUCUGAGAGGAUGAUCAGCCACACUGGAACUGAGACACGGUCCAGACUCCUACGGGAGGCAGCAGUGGGGAAUAUUGGACAAUGGGCGCAAGCCUGAUCCAGCCAUACCGCGUGGGUGAAGAAGGCCUUCGGGUUGUAAAGCCCUUUUGUUGGGAAAGAAAUCCAGCCGGCUAAUACCUGGUUGGGAUGACGGUACCCAAAGAAUAAGCACCGGCUAACUUCGUGCCAGCAGCCCCGGUAAUACGAAGGGUGCAAGCGUUACUCGGAAUUACUGGGCGUAAAGCGUGCGUAGGUGGUCGUUUAAGUCCGUUCUGAAAGCCCCUGGGCUCAAGCCUGGGAACUGACAGUGGAUACCUGGGC
rnacentral:rRNA from 1 species